rnacentral:rRNA from 1 species
UACGUAGGGUGCAAGCGUUGUCCGGAAUUAUUGGGCGUAAAGAGCUCGUAGGCGGUUUGUCGCGUCGGCUGUGAAAUCCCGAGGCUCAACCUCGGGCCUGCAGUCGAUACGGGCAAACUAGAGUGUGGUAGGGGAGACUGGAAUUCCUGGUGUAGCGGUGAAAUGCGCAGAUAUCAGGAGGAACACCGAUGGCGAAGGCAGUGGGCUGGGCCGGCACUGACGCUGAGGAGCGAAAGCGUGGGGAGCGAACAGG